rnacentral:rRNA from 1 species
ACGAACGCUGGCGGCGUGCUUAACACAUGCCAGUCGCACGCUGAAGACCUGGCUUUUGUUGGGUUGGAUGAGUGGCGAACGGGUGAGUAACACGUGAGUAACCUGCCCUCUUCUUUGGGAUAACGCCCGGAAACGGGUGCUAAUACUGGAUAUUCACUGAUCUUCGCAUGGGGGUUGGUGGAAAGGUUUGUUCUGGUGGGGGAUGGGCUCGCGGCCUAUCAGCUUGUUGGUGGGGUGAUGGCCUACCAAGGCUUUGACGGGUAGCCGGCCUGAGAGGGUGACCGGUCACAUUGGGACUGAGAUACGGCCCAGACUCCUACGGGAGGCAGCAGUGGGGAAUAUUGCACAAUGGGCGAAAGCCUGAUGCAGCGACGCCGCGUGAGGGAUGGAGGCCUUCGGGUUGUAAACCUCUUUCGCUCAUGGUCAAGCCGCAACUGUGGGUUGUGGUGAGGGUAGUGGGUAAAGAAGCGCCGGCUAACUACGUG